GCGCGGGGAGAGGAGGGCGCGCGAGGCGGACGUGGGCGACGGGGAGGCGCGCGCGAGGGAGAGAGAGCCAAGCGGCACGGGACGCAGAGAAACGGCGGAGCAGGGGAGAGAGAGAGAUGGCGCCAGGGAGGAGAGGAGCUCGGGAAGCUUGGCGGCAGGGAGGAGCUCGCGGGAAGAAGAAGAGAAGGGGAGAAGAAGGUGGCGGCGGAGGAGGAAAAGGGGGGAG
rnacentral:lncRNA from 1 species